rnacentral:rRNA from 1 species
UACGUAGGGGGCUAGCGUUGUCCGGAUUUAUUGGGCGUAAAGAGCUCGUAGGUGGUUCGGUAAGUCGGAUGUGAAAUCUCCAGGCUCAACCUGGAGGGGUCAUUCGAUACUGCCGUGACUAGAGUUCGGUAGAGGAGUGUGGAAUUCCUGGUGGAGCGGUGAAAUGCGCAGAUAUCAGGAGGAACACCGGUGGCGAAGGCGGGUCUCUGGGCCGAUAUUGACGCUGAGGAGCGAAAGCGUGGGGAGCGAACAGG